rnacentral:rRNA from 1 species
CAUAUCAAUAAGCGGAGGAAAAGAAACCAACAGGGAUUGCCCCAGUAACGGCGAGUGAAGCGGCAACAGCUCAAAUUUGAAAUCUGGCCCCUCGGGGUCCGAGUUGUAAUUUGUAGAGGAUGCUUUUGGUGAGGUGCCGCCCGAGUUCCCUGGAACGGGACGCCACAGAGGGUGAGAGCCCCGUCUGGCUGGCCACCGAGCCUCUGUAAAGCUCCUUCGACGAGUCGAGUAGUUUGGGAAUGCUGCUCAAAAUGGGAGGUAUAUGUCUUCUAAAGCUAAAUAUUGGCCAGAGACCGAUAGCGCACAAGUAGAGUGAUCGAAAGAUGAAAAGCACCUUGAAAAGAGGGUUAAAUAGUACGUGAAAUUGUUGAAAGGGAAGCGCUUGUGACCAGACUUGGGCGCGGCGGAUCAUCCGGGGUUCUCUCCGGUGCACUUCGCCGCGUCUAGGCCAGCAUCAGUUCGUCGCGGGGGAAAAAGGCUUCGGGAACGUGGCUCCUCCGGGAGUGUUAUAGCCCGUUGCAUAAUACCCUG